UUGACAUUUCAACCUAAUGUGGGUCUUAUAGAUCAAACAUUGCCAUCUGGUUCUGCAGGCAUCAAUGUAGUUCAAGUUGUUCAUGUCAAUUUUAUGUCCUGCAUUUUAGCAGGAUCAGAUGGUGACUGUGAGAAGGUCCUUGUCACAGCAGGAUCAGACAGCCAGGGAGAAAAGGUCAACCGGGGAGCUGAGGGUCCAAUGAAAUCUGAUCUGCAGAGAACCAGACUGAAUCACAGAAUGCAGACAUAUGAGAUAAAGUUAUCCUUUCAUGAAGAAAACUAUAUUAAUGCACAAUCAAAAUACCCACCGC